GCUUUGGAAGAAAUUCUGAAGUAAAGAUUCCUCAUUUAAAAAAUUUAAAACAAAACAAGCAAAAAUAUCAAACAGGAAGUUUUGUGGCAAUGAACUAAAUACAGAUUUUUUUUUUUAAGGAAACCAAAUUAAGUCUAAAACCUGUGGCAAAUUUGUACUUUCUCCUUAAAUUACAUUGCUUUCAAAGAAAAUGUUUGAAAAGGACUGGUAAAUCAUUAUCAAAACUGAAAUGGG
ensembl:misc_RNA